rnacentral:rRNA from 3 species
GAUUCGUCACACUAUCAUUAACUGAAUCCAUAGGUUAAUGAGGCGAACCGGGGGAACUGAAACAUCUAAGUACCCCGAGGAAAAGAAAUCAACCGAGAUUCCCCCAGUAGCGGCGAGCGAACGGGGAGGAGCCCAGAGCCUGAAUCAGCAUGUGUGUUAGUGGAAGCGUCUGGAAAGGCGCGCGAUACAGGGUGACAGCCCCGUACACAAAAGCGCAUGUGCUGUGAGCUCGAUGAGUAGGGCGGGACACGUGGUAUCCUGUCUGAAUAUGGGGGGACCAUCCUCCAAGGCUAAAUACUCCUGACUGACCGAUAGUGAACCAGUACCGUGAGGGAAAGGCGAAAAGAACCCCGGCGAGGGGAGUGAAAAAGAACCUGAAACCGUGUACGUACAAGCAGUGGGAGCACCCUUCGGGGUGUGACUGCGUACCUUUUGUAUAAUGGGUCAGCGACUUAUAUUCUGUAGCAAGGUUAACCGUAUAGGGGAGCCGGAGGGAAACC